rnacentral:lncRNA from 1 species
CACAGCCCAGUGACAGUUCCAAGCUAGCAUGCUCAAGGACCCAGGUUCAAUCCCACCAUCACCACUGUAAUAGUAAUAAUGGCGAUGUACUCAGUUGUCCAUUAUUGUUAUUGUUAUUAUUACUAUGUGGACCACCUGCUGCAAUGUGAAUGAGCCUCAUUCAAUUGGCUACACGAUUGGCUAAUGUAGACACCAGCAUUCCCUGAAGAACUGGACCCUGCCGGCCGGCAGACACCCCGUAGACGGACCUGCAGCUGCAUCUUUUCCAUGCACAGAGGGGUUGGCAUUGUACCUAAAACCUUUGAGUUUUGCCUCAAGCAAAAUGUGUCAUGUAUAACGUUGGGGGUGGACAUGCUGGGUGUGCUGGGUGCUCUUCUUAUAUUAAAAUAUUUCACAAUUAAGAAAAAAUGAGGUGGUAUAAGCAAAGUAAACUAGAAAAAAAAUUAACUGGUCCAGUGGUCAGCACGUGACAGUGCUUAAGACAGAGGAACUGUCUGGGGCAGUAUGCUGGGUUGGAGGUAGGAGCCAUUGGGAAUGAAGAGCUACAGAGGAGGACAUGUUCCCAGGGGAGCAGUCAUGAAGCCAGAGUGGAGUUUGCUGCAGACCCUGGGAGCAGUGGGUAAGGCUGCUGUACAGACACAGGCACAGGGAGGUCAGGACUCAAGGACACAGUCCACACUGCUCGAGUCUCCCAGACAUCAUUUCUGUUCACUGAAAGGAAGCUAUUUGGAAAUGGUUAUUUCUAACUUUCCUCUGGUGAGAUUUAUCCCCUGGGUGCUCGCCCACACCAGAGGGAUUUGUGCUACUCAGAAAUAUACUGGGAUCCACGAUACCAGGGCUCCUGUCUGAUUUCAGGUGUGGCUCUCAGAGAAGGUC